GGGUUUCCCACUAGAAUCCAUCCUGUGAUCUUCUGUUUGAUCUGAAACAACAAAGAGUCUGUCAAAGAACACAAGUGCAGCCAACCCCCCACCAAAAUAUGCACGAAGCACCAGAAAACCUGUGCCACUGCUACCAAGAAGCAAAAGGCUAAAACGCAGCACAAGCCACCAAGUAAUGAUGAGAAUCAUCUUGGUCUCUCACAUGGCUUAACCAUGGAGCAUGAGGGCUCAAGGUCUCCUUCUGUUCUGCCUUCUUAAUUGAGGGACCCCCCUCACCAAAUCACUGCAAAGGAUCAGACCCUUUUCCUGUGACAGACGCAAGCCUACCUAAGACCCACUAAAAUCUGCUCCGACGCACCAGAAAACCUGUGCCAGUGCCACUAAGAAGUAGUGCCACUAAGAAGUAAAAGGCAAAAACACUGUCCAAUAUUUUACUGCAGAGAAUCUUGAGUCUUCAUUCUCCAGGGAUGGGUCAUGUGGGAGGCCGAGGACUCCUUCUGCCUCUUCAGAUGAGAGAUCCCCCUCACCAGACCCUUUUCCUAUGCCGGAAGCAAGACAGUCGGAGCUAAUGAUUUUAGAAAUAUAUGAUAUCUCAAAGCUGGGGGGGAGGAGACAUCCCAGACUGGGUGAAGAGAGCAAUGCACCGAACCCUGACAAACAGCCUCAUGUCAACGAUCAAUAUGAAUGGAAACAAAGGGAAGAGGGCUUUUGACGACUCCAACCUUUGCAGCGUCAUUAUAGCAAGUGUGUCCUGGCGAAUCAAAGGCUAGUGGCAGAAACACUACAGCCGACGUCAACUUGCCUGAAAUAUGCACCUGACCUCAAGGGGGAAAGUGGGAAGGUC